AUUUAUUCAUUUGUGUAUGUUGAACCAGCAUUUCAUCCCAAAGAUGCAGCCGACUUGAUUGUGGUGGAUAAGCUUUUUGAUGUGCUGCUGGAUUCUGUUUGCUAGUAUUUUAUUAAGAAUUUUUGCAUUAAUGUUCAUCAGGGAUAUUGGCCUGGAUUGAGCAGGCCAUUUCCAAUCCAGCGGAAGACCUUCUAGAAGAGGUGAUGGGUGGGAGAGUGCUGGCAUACUAUGUGAAGCUACUAUUUGGAGUUGGACACGAGUGCAUGUGACCUUGUGCCACAGCGGGAAUCUUGACUACCACACAAAUGAAUCCACUCAAAUGUUGGCAAGUGGAGCAGAGUCCCAGGACAGUCUGCAAUCUCUACAGGUACAGAAACACCCCCAGUUCAAGGAUCUUCACACCUGGAUUUAGGCCUACUCCUGCAACUACCCCAGAACCUGGAAUUUAUAUGUUCAACAUGGAGCCAUCCCAGCCAUGACAACAGAGAAUGUACCACUCUCACAGUUACUAUGAAUUAUUAUAUUGUGGCUACUUACACCAAGAUGAAGAUAAUUUAUUAGUUCAGGAAGAACCUGCAUUCUGAAGGCAAAUG
rnacentral:lncRNA from 10 species